CUUCAUUCUACCAUGGGAGACAGGUCCUUCCAUAUCUCAGCAUUUGAAGCAUGAGUUGCUCAUUACAGAAACAAAAAGAAAAAUAUCAAAUAUUUAACCACAGAAUCCAAAAGCCACCAGUAUAAAAGUAAAAUGGAGAAAGUCAGAUGGGUUUCUGCCUUUUCCAACCAGAUAAAAGACGUCACGGGCUGAGAAAGAAGGCAAGGCCACACACAGAGGACGGCAGGAGGUCACCGUGCCUGUCUUUAGGCAAGAGCGACACUCGCUAUGCGCCAAGAUUCCUUUCAAGCUCUGUGUGGCCAACUCACAGAAACAGAAACAGGAAGCAGAUGGAAAAUACGCGGAAGUGCACAGGAAGUAAACAGGGUCCAGACGUGAUUCAGUGAAUGGCAGGAGAAAGAAGUGCCACUGCAGAAGUUCAAGGUCCCUCGGGAGUCCCGGAAGGAGCAUGACAGCAUCCUCUCCUGUGUGGGUUCACUGAGAAAUCCUGAGUCGAUGUCUCUCUAAGGACACUGAGAUCUGCCUGUGUACGUAAGAGAGACUCUGAAGGCUGUGCAGAGGAGCCUGAGCCUUCAUGACCAACUUGAGUUACAACCAGUUGAGUUCGUCAGUCAAGGGUCCGGUGCCUCAGUACCUUCUGCAGCAUACAGUGCUUCGGCCCCUGUGUGGAGUGGCAUACGUACCCAGCACAUCGUCACUCCUCUGCCUCCCCUGCCUCCCUCCACCUCUUCAUCCUCUCCCCAUCUGAAUAAAUCCACCUCCUAC
rnacentral:lncRNA from 1 species